rnacentral:rRNA from 1 species
GCUCUUCGAUUCAGCGGCGGACGGGUGAGUAAUGCCUAGGAAUCUGCCUGAUAGUGGGGGACAACGUUUCGAAAGGAACGCUAAUACCGCAUACGUCCUACGGGAGAAAGCAGGGGACCUUCGGGCCUUGCGCUAUCAGAUGAGCCUAGGUCGGAUUAGCUAGUUGGUGGGGUAAUGGCUCACCAAGGCGACGAUCCGUAACUGGUCUGAGAGGAUGAUCAGUCACACUGGAACUGAGACACGGUCCAGACUCCUACGGGAGGCAGCAGUGGGGAAUAUUGGACAAUGGGCGAAAGCCUGAUCCAGCCAUGCCGCGUGUGUGAAGAAGGUCUUCGGAUUGUAAAGCACUUUAAGUUGGGAGGAAGGGCAGUAAGCGAAUACCUUGCUGCUUUGACGUUACCGACAGAAUAAGCACCGGCUAACUCUGUGCCAGCAGCCGCGGUAAUACAGAGGGUGCAAGCGUUAAUCGGAAUUACUGGGCGUAAAGCGCGCGUAGGUGGUUUGUUAAGUUGGAUGUGAAAGCCCCGGGCUCAACCUGGGAACUGCAUCCAAAACUGGCAAGCUAGAGUACAGUAGAGGGUGGUGGAAUUUCCUGUGUAGCGGUGAAAUGCGUAGAUAUAGGAAGGAACACCAGUGGCGAAGGCGACCACCUGGACUGAUACUGACACUGAGGUGCGAAAGC